rnacentral:rRNA from 1 species
UACGGAGGGGGCGAGCGUUAUUCGGAAUUAUUGGGCGUAAAGGGCGCGUAGGCGGCUGUACAAGUCAAAGGUGAAAUCCCUCGGCUCAACUGAGGAACUGCCUUUGAGACUGUACGGCUUGAGGCCGGGAGGGGGUAGCGGAAUUCCCAAUGUAGCGGUGAAAUGCGUAGAUAUUGGGAGGAACACCAGUGGCGAAGGCGGCUACCUGGACCGGUUCUGACGCUGAGGCGCGAAAGCGUGGGUAGCAAACAGG